GGCUCACUCGUCUCACCACCUUCCUGGAGAGAGAGGAAGCUGAGACAUCGUCACCCAGCUCACAACCUCUGCCCACACGUCCUAUGGGGUUCUGCGGCCAGCUGACAUCCCCCGGGGCAAAGCCUGGGUCUGGCAGGUCGUAGGGCAUGUUCCCAUCGGUGUUGACUGCCAGGAGAUCUGCACCACUACAAGAAGAUUGACAAGCCACCGCCUCGGUACUUCCAGACAACAGCUCCUCACUCAAGGAGUCCUCAGUCCCCAGAGCAAGUUCCACUCAACAGAGGCCCUCAGUCUGGGACUGUCCUCAGGAAGAGAGGGCAGGCAAGAGGAAAUCCAAGCUCCAGCUCCUGCUAGAAACGCUGGCCUCGGGCCUGGCUGCUAGCCCUCAGCCCUAGAUCCUGACUCCAAGCUGGACUAAGCAGUCUCUAUCCACCGAGGCGUCAGGUUUAUGACACCCAUCCACCCCAUAAACAUAGUAGAGGCAACCGCAGAUGUGCGAGGACUCUGGGGCCCCCAGAACACAGAAGGGGUGCCUAUGCCUGGUGGAAGAGCAGAACCGGGAUGCCUGCAGUUCAUCACCAGCUCCAAGAGCAGCCCAGGGAACCUGCUAGCGACACACCCCUGAUGCAUUACUGGGGUACCUGUGUGUGACAGAGACUCUCUGCUCACACAAGAGUGACCACGCUUCUAUACUCUGACCCACGAGAGAAGCUCUUGAAUCUAGAGAAGCCUCCUCUGUUCCCCCUUCCUUGUUAGGGGUGAAGGCCUCACUUGCACCCUGGCACUUCCUCCUCGGUGGAUGGUCUCUCCAUUCCCCUCCCCUCCUUCCCAACACUGACCAAAUGGCACCUUCCUAUGUAAGCUGUGGAGAGCCCCUUGGAGGUCUAGCCUGCCGAGCAGGUCAAGGAGCACAGUGAACACACUCUUCCCCUGGAUCCCAGGGAGGUUGACAGAGGAGGUAAAGACAGGAAGCAAACCAGAGGGGUCACCUGACCACCACCUGGACACCCAGCAGGCCUACCGUGAAAUGAGGAGUUCCACCAGAUGCAGAUGGCCGCAGGUAGCUGCAGCGUGCAGCGGCGUCCAGCCCUCACUGUCCCGAGCAUUGACGUCAGCCCCAGCCUCCAGGAGCUGCUGGGCCAUCUCUUGGAAGUCAUCGAUGCAGCACUGCAAACAGGCAACCUGAGCCCCACCCCCUGACCCCGAGCCACACCAACACCCCCCACCCCCGACUCCUGCGGGGCUCACCUGGUGCAGUGCAGUCAGGCCGUCCUCGUUGGCCAGGUUGGGGCUAACCCCACUACUAAGGAACUGGCGGACUGCAAGAAGGGGAAGGCAGGAGGGGUCCUCAAGAGCUAGCAGCUGCCUCUCCCUCCAGGCCCCAGGAGUUACAAGCACGGGGCACAGGAGGAGAAAGGGGCCUGCUAAGGUUAGGCUUGUCUUCACACUAGGGAGAUUGCAGUCAAAGCAGGGCCUGGGUGAGUGUGCUGCAGUGCCAGGCCACGUGUGCUCUCUCUCGGACCCACACUGGACCUGGCCGACAUCUGCUCCCCACCUCUAACCAGAGGUGAGCAAUGCCAUCCCACUCUGCAGAGAAGGGCGUGGGCGCCGUGCAUGGAGAGAACGGAUGGAUUCACGGCAGCCCUGCACUGUUCGGAGGUCGUUUCGGGCAGCCGCCUCCAGAAGUGCCACGCUGGGAGGGAAGAAGACCUGCUUCCGAGGCCCGAGGCCAGACACCUCCUUCCAUGGUUGUUCCCUGCGGCCCUUCUUGCCAUGGGCCUCCUUCUCAGCCUGGGCCCACAUCUUUACCUGCUGGGCACGUCGCUUCUGGGCAUGCUUCAGCCGCUCCUGGGUGCUCAUCCUGCCUACCAUGGGCAUCUCUGCCAGCAGCUCCAGGUGCUCGGCCAUGGUGGUGGAUGUCUGCCCACAGGGCUGAUUGGGGCACCACGAUUCGGGUUUGGGGGGCCAGGCCAAGCCUGAAGGGUGGGGCAGCUGGCUGGACUGGCACCCUUGGGGGCAUCCCCUUCCCAAGACUUGGUGCCCUCUCUCCCUGACAAGGCUGAGAUGGGAGGCCCCACACUAUGACCAGGCCCAGCUGCCCUACGGGGCAGAGCCCAGGCAGGGAGGGCAGCGUGGCAGGGGUGGGGUGGAAGGUGGGGGGGUGGGGGGGGAGCCUGCCGCCGUUCCCCAGGCCGCUCUGACACCUCAGCUGACACACAGCGCCUCGCCUCCCUCUGGGGUCAGGGUGCACACAGCCUGUGGGAAGUAGCCCUAAGACCCGGCCGGCCUCAGUCCAGGGUCUGAAGCUAAUUACCCAGAUAACAAAGUUCCAGCUUCCUGGCACCCUGCCUAGGAGAAUGGAGGGCAGGGCCAAUCAGCAGCAGGCCCCUGGCAGCCCCUGGCAGCCCCUGCUCUUCCUCCAUGCUGGCUGCCCUCAGUCCUCUGGCUCAUUUCCAGUCCGCACAGCUAGUCUAAGGAGGCGGGCAGCAAAGGCCAGGCGUAUGGUCAGUCCUGGGGUCCCAGCUUCCGGUGUCCAAGGGUGACAGUCUCUAGGCAGCUAGGAGACAGGAGACCUGUCAAUGUUUUCUCAAGGGAGCCUCCCCUUCCAGACGUCACACACACCUGAGGAAUAAAUACGAAUAAGGAAACACAGCGAGGUCAGUCACGGCAAGAGGUGAGGGGGCUCCAGGAGUCCUGCGCGGGACCCACCUUCUGCCCACAGCACACCGAGAGUCAACAAUGUAUCCUGGGGUGCUCUACCCUCUACCCUUUCCUCCCCACACACUCAGGGAAGAGUAGGACAAGGGGGAUCUCAGACCCCUAUCCAUCCUUUCCAGAAAGGCUGUGCAGGCUACACAGUGAAAAAGAACCAGGAGGCUUGCCUACUAGGCUGUCCAAGGCCUUCCCAGGGCCAAACUCAGAGUCCUGGCUGGGCUGGGCAAGGGUUCUUCCAUGAUAGAUAGCAAAUGGGCUUGACAGACUGCCUCCCCCCACUGUGGCCUGGCAUCUGCCCUGCUCCCGUCCCGGAGCCAGUUCAGGCCAGUCAGUAUUUCUGCCAUCCUGAGUGGCACUCAGCUGAAGUCAUGGGGACACCGGCAUCCACACGGAAGAGGAACUACGAGCUAUCUCCCUGCCCCCAUCGCUACACAAAAGGGGAGAUGUCCUGACGCCCUUGUCCUGAAGAAGAGAAAACCUCCGCGGCCAACAACAGCUUUUCAAGUAGAAAGCACGCUGGCUUUUGGGUCUCUGGUCUAGCCCCAUGUGCAGACAGCUCUCGGGCCAGCCGGGUGCAGUGGGGAGAUAAGCAGGGAGCUGCCCCAGACUGCCCCAAGGCCGUCUCCCCACUACAUAGGGGAAUUCCUGUGGACCCACCUUUCUGAUCUUUCUGGAACGUGUCUGAAGACAGACUGUGUGAGCUGGGAUGGGACCACAGGGGAGCCCAGGGAGUCCGGGCAUACCACACAUAGAGCCCACCGAAAGAGUCCUUACUCCAAGGGCAGUCCAGCCCAGCUCCAGCACAUGCUGAGCUCUAAGCUUUCAGUCCCCUGACUCCAGGAGCUGUCUAGCUGGCUUUCCUCCAGAAGCUAGCCUCAAAGGGAACAGGGCAGCUGAAAGCCAGUGGGCUCUUCUCAAGUUCUAGGAGGAAAGCUACCCACUCCUAGCUGAGUCUUGUCUGACCCCGCUGACCCUGACUACGGUGUGGUUCCUCUUCCUAGCCUGCCAAGGUCAUGAAGACAGCUAACCUAUAAGGCUUGACGGCCAGUCCAGCAGCUCUACCAAAUGGCCACAACACCACACCCAGGCCCAACGCCGGCUGAGCUGGGCAGCUCCUGCCCGACCUCACAAGUCCUUCCCAGAGCCUCUCUGGAAUGUCAAACAGAGAUAAUUUGGUUGACUUACUCCAGAUCUGGGCUUCAAGCCUGGCUGAUCUGAACCAGGAAUGUGGGACCCAGCACAGGGAAGCCUCCUACAAGGACUUUGACCCCAAUCCCCACCCUUCAGCCUGACCCAGUCUACAGAGUGCCCCAUGGAGCAGCUGGCCUUCAUCACACAAGGCCAGCACCCUAGCCCCAACCCAUUCUCCACAGCUCCAACGAGAACACAGCCAAUCUCUGGGGGCUCUCACCUUCCCUACCCUUCCCAACUGUACAGCCCUUCAGGAAGCACUUACUAUCACCCCCAAUUUGUACUCAGGAAAACCAAGCUAUUAUAGCCUUAGCUACAGACAAAACCAAUUCCAGGCCAGGCGGUGGUGGUGCACGCCUUUAAUCCCAGCACUCGGGAGGCAGAGCCAGGCGGAUCUCUGUGAGUUCGAGGCCAGCCUGGGCUACCAAGUGAGUCCCAGGAAAGGCGCAAAGCUACACAGAAACCCUGUCUCGGAAGAAAAAAAAAACCAAAAAACCACAAUUCCACUGGCUGAGAAAGCUACAGGAACUGACUCCGGUAGGUCUAAGCACUCCAGACCCGAGGGACGGACGGACGGGCUGCUGAGAUAGCCCUGUCCCACCAAGAAUCCUUUAUCAGCUGUCCAAAUGUGGCCCACUGUCCUGCACUGACAGUUCCCAUCCCAUGUGCAGCCAGCACGGCCCUGUUAAUCACCACAGCACAGCGCCUUCUGACCCGCCACAUGUGUCUGCAGUGAGCCCACGGCCUGGCAGCUGCAAGGAGCCUAAACAUGGGGAACGAGGAAUGGUAUGGGUGGGGGCAGACGACCCAGAAAUGGGGACGAAGGACAGGUGUCCAGAGAAAGGACAGACGAGAUGAGAGAAAAGGAGGGAAACGUUCAGAGUUCAGCUAGAGAGUGGGGCAGCAACCCAGUGCACCUGCUGCAGGCUCCAAUGCUCAGAUGGACCACACAGUGCACACCUGGAAUGUUUCUCUCUGACACCGUCUAUUAGGACCCCCUAUCACUAAAGCCCAUUCAGCAAGUCACGGAGGCAGAGAGAGAGACCUCAUGCCUCUGGCUGCACAUCACAGGGGAAGCUGGCACCUUAAGACACGGGGCAGCAAUGUGGCAGCUGAUGAACGAGUCCCUGCCUGUGACAAGAUGAAGUCAACCAGCAGAGUUUAUUUGGUCCAUAGCAAGAAAGUCUGUGCAGAUCAGUGUCUGCGGAGAUGGCUGCAAGAUGCUGCAUGGAUGCAGAAGCUGACAAGACUCUGGAUAGACAAAUAUCAGCAGUCAAGAAAAUGGCCCGCAGGCGUGUGCACAGGCAUUUUCUCAGGUGGGAGUUCCCGCUUGGAGUUCCCAGGCGACUCGUCUGUGUGGUGUUGAUGGUAAAGCCAAGCAGUACAGUGAUGACCCCACCUGUGCCCUCCGUACGGCCAGCAGCCCCCUGAGACUUCCUUGUACCAUUUCUACUCCCAGACAGCACUCCUGGGUGUGAAAUGAAAAAAGUGGAUUUGCUUAUCCAGAUGACAGAUAUGGGAGGGCCCAGCCCACUGUGGGCAGUGGCACCCCUGGGCAGGUGGUCCUGGGUUACAUAAGCAAGCAAGCUACGUAAGCCAUAAAGAUCAAGCCAGUGAGCAGUGUUCCUCUGAGGGUUCUCUAGAUGAUGGACUGUAUCCUCUCUCAAGUUGUUUCUGCUCAGUGUUUUAUCACAGCAACAGGAACCUAACUAGAUAAAACCUAACUAUGAUGAAGAGAGCUCUAAGAAACAGCGCUUACUCAGUUAUUUAAAAA